AUGAUUUGCCAGGGAAGCAUCGAACUAUUGCAGAAGAAACUUGAAGAAGUCAUGGGUCGGAAAAGAUUUUUACUUGUUCUCGAUGAUGUAUGGAAUGAAGAGAAGAGGACAUGGGAUGAUGAAUUGAAGCCACUAUUGUGCUCUGUUGGCGGACCAGGAAGUGUUAUAGUGGUCACGUGUCGAAGUAAGAAAGUGGCCUCUAUAAUGAGCACCGUUAAGCCCCAUGAGCUAGCAUUUUUGAGUGAAGAAGAUUCAUGGGAACUCUUUUCGAACAAAGCAUUUAACAAUGGUGUAGAAGAGCAAGUAGAGUUAGUUACCAUCGGAAGACGUAUAGUCAAUAAAUGCGGGGGAUUAUGA
rnacentral:rRNA from 1 species